AUAUAAACGUUGAAGAAGAAGAGUAAAAGUAAAUAGCAUUAAGAGAGGGGAAUUUUUAGCUGUAAGGUUUCCUAUGUAAAGUACUUUGAAGGUAGCUUCUGAGUUCUUCUAUUGAAAGUUUAAGUAGAUAGAAGCGGUGGUUUUCUUACCGUUAUUUUGUAGAGAGUCUGCUUUAUGCAGGAAUAAAGGUGGUAUCGCGCACAGUCGUCCUUUGA
rnacentral:ncRNA from 1 species